CCAGUAAACGGCGGCCGUAACUAUAACGGUCCUAAGGUAGCGAAAUUCCUUGUCGGGUAAGUUCCGACCUGCACGAAUGGCGUAAUGAUGGCCAGGCUGUCUCCACCCGAGACUCAGUGAAAUUGAACUCGCUGUGAAGAUGCAGUGUACCCGCGGCAAGACGGAAAGACCCCGUGAACCUUUACUAUAGCUUGACACUGAACAUUGAGCCUUGAUGUGUAGGAUAGGUGGGAGGCUUUGAAGUGUGGACGCCAGUCUGCAUGGAGCCAACCUUGAAAUACCACCCUUUAACGUUUGAUGUUCUAACCUAGGCCCAUAAACUGGGUCGGGGACCGUGUCUGGUGGGUAGUUUGACUGGGGCGGUCUCCUCCUAAAGAGUAACGGAGGAGCACGAAGGUUGGCUAAGCAUGGUCGGACAUCAUGCGGUUAGUGCAAAGGCAUAAGCCAGCUUGACUGCGAGAGUGACGGCUCGAGCAGGUACGAAAGUAGGUCUUAGUGAUCCGGUGGUUCUGAAUGGAAGGGCCAUCGCUCAACGGAUAAAAGGUACUCCGGGGAUAACAGGCUGAUACCGCCCAAGAGUUCAUAUCGACGGCGGUGUUUGGCACCUCGAUGUCGGCUCAUCACAUCCUGGGGCUGAAGUAGGUCCCAAGGGUAUGGCUGUUCGCCAUUUAAAGUGGUACGCGAGCUGGGUUUAGAACGUCGUGAGACAGUUCGGUCCCUAUCUGCCGUGGGCGUUGGAAGAUUGAGAGGGGUUGCUCCUAGUACGAGAGGACCGGAGUGAACGCACCACUGGUGUUCGGGUUGUCAUGCCAAUGGCAUUGCCCGGUAGCUAAGUGCGGAAGAGAUAACCGCUGAAAGCAUCUAAGCGGGAAACUUGCCUCGAGAUGAGUCUUCCCUGUCGCUUUAAGCGACCUAAAGGAACGUUUAAGACUAAGACGUUGAUAGGCUGGGUGUGUAAGCGUAGCGAUACGUUGAGCUAACCAGUACUAAUGAACCGUGAGGCUUAACC
rnacentral:rRNA from 1 species